UACGGAGGGGGCUAGCGUUGUUCGGAAUUACUGGGCGUAAAGCGCGCGUAGGCGGACCAGAAAGUUGGGGGUGAAAUCCCGGGGCUCAACCUCGGAACUGCCUUCAAAACUCCUGGUCUGGAGUUCGAGAGAGGUGAGUGGAAUUCCGAGUGUAGAGGUGAAAUUCGUAGAUAUUCGGAGGAACACCAGUGGCGAAGGCGGCUCACUGGCUCGAUACUGACGCUGAGGUGCGAAAGCGUGGGGAGCAAACAGGAUUAGAUACCCUUGUAGUCC
rnacentral:rRNA from 1 species